AGUGAACGCUGGCGGUAGGCCUAACACAUGCAAGUCGAACGGCAGCACAGUAAGAGCUUGCUCUUACGGGUGGCGAGUGGCGGACGGGUGAGGAAUACAUCGGAAUCUACUUUUUCGUGGGGGAUAACGUAGGGAAACUUACGCUAAUACCGCAUACGACCUACGGGUGAAAGCAGGGGAUCUUCGGACCUUGCGCGAUUGAAUGAGCCGAUGUCGGAUUAGCUAGUUGGCGGGGUAAAGGCCCACCAAGGCGACGAUCCGUAGCUGGUCUGAGAGGAUGCUCGGCCACACUGGAAUGGAGACACGGUCCAGACUCCUACGGGAGGCAGCAGGGGGGAAUAUUGGACAAGGGGCGCAAGCCUGACCCAGCCAUCCCGCGUGGGUGAAGAAGGCCUUCGGUUUGUAAACCCCUUUUGUUGGAAAAGAAAAGCAGCGGUUUAAUCCCCCGCUGUUCUGACGGUACCCAAAAAAAAAGCACCGGCUAACUUCGUG
rnacentral:rRNA from 1 species